AAAUCUUACAUAGUAUCUAUUCAUGGUAUCCACACAAACACAAUGUGCCAACGGGCAAUACCUUUAUCCCAAUGAAUGAUCCUUGCCAGUUCGAAGCAGACUUGACUCAACCUUAUCUUGAUGUGGAAGAAUGCCUUUUAGCACUGACUGAUUUACCUCAAACCAGUUCGAAGCAGACUUGACUCAACCUUAUCUUGAUGUGGAAGAAUGCCUUUUAGCACUGAUUGAUUUACCUCAGACUGCUUGAGAGACAUUUUCUUAUUGUAUGCUUUUAUUAACAUCUUCAUUUUCCAAAAUAAC
rnacentral:lncRNA from 1 species